rnacentral:rRNA from 1 species
CGAAGAACCUUACCUGGCCUUGACAUCCAGAGAACUUUCCAGAGAUGGAUUGGUGCCUUCGGGAACUCUGAGACAGGUGCUGCAUGGCCGUCGUCAGCUCGUGUCGUGAGAUGUUGGGUUAAGUCCCGUAACGAGCGCAACCCCUAUCCCUGGUUGCUAGCAGGUAAUGCUGAGAACUCCAGGGAGACUGCCGGUGACAAACCGGAGGAAGGUGGGGAUGACGUCAGGUCAUCAUGGCCCUUACGGCCAGGGCUACACACGUGCUACAAUGGCGCAUACAGAGUGCUGCGAACUCGCGAGAGUAAGCGAAUCACUUAAAGUGCGUCGUAGUCCGGAUUGGAGUCUGCAACUCGACUCCAUGAAGUCGGAAUCGCUAGUAAUCG